rnacentral:sRNA from 1 species
GACCACGAACACUCUUCCGCUACGGCUCCCUGAAGGGGCCAUCCCGGGCCUUUCGCGCUUCUGCCCUGGCUCUCUGCGGGCCGCUCCGCCGGUGCUGUCCCUGGGCGCCUCCGUGCUCUCAGCCAACCGCCUCGGAGAGCGCCUACUCGAGCGCCCCGGGAGCCAGAGGGCGGCGGUCCUCGCCGGGACCCUCCUGUGGGCCCAGGGGAAAUAAUGAAGAUGUUUCAUUUUCAAGACCAGCGGAUCUUGACCUUAUUCAGUCAACUCCCUUUAAAUCCCUGGCACUGAAAACACCACCUCGUGUACUUACGCUGAGUGAAAGACCACUAGAUUUUCUGGAUUUAGAAAGACCUCCUACAACCCCUCAAAAUGAAGAAAUCCGAGCAGUUGGCAGAGUAAAAAGAGAGCGGUCUAUGAGUGAAAAUGCUGUUCGCCAAAAUGGACAGCUGGUCAGAAAUGAUUCUCUGUAUGGCAUUUCAAAUAUAGAUACAACCACUGAAGGAACGUCAGAUGACCUGACUGUUGUAGAUGCAGCUUCACUAAGACGACAGAUAAUCAAACUAAAUAGACGUCUACAACUUCUGGAAGAGGAGAACAAAGAACGUGCUAAAAGAGAAAUGGUCAUGUAUUCAAUUACUGUAGCUUUCUGGCUGCUUAAUAGCUGGCUCUGGUUUCGCCGCUAGAGGUAACAUCAGCCCUCAAAAAUAUUGUCUCAACAGCUGGAAAUAUAAAAGAUUUGCAAACUUCUUUGUUUCUGUCUCUGCAUUGUAUGCCAUUUUAUAGUCCACACCCUGAAAAUGUAUUUCUUCUAGAAAGUCUG